ensembl:snRNA U6 U6 spliceosomal RNA
GUGCUUGCUUCAGUAGCACAUAUACUGGAAUUGAAAUGAUACAGAGAUUAGCACAGCCCCCAGGCAAGGAUGACAUGCAAAUUCAUGAUGUACUCCAUAUUUUU